rnacentral:rRNA from 1 species
UCACCACUUCUAGUUUAUCAGCCUGUAUACCUCCGUCGUCAGCUUACCACGUGAGCGUCAACUAGUGAGCCUAAUGUUAUUUUACCCACACGUCAGGUCAAGGUGCAGCAAAUGAAGUGGGAAGAGAUGGGCUACACUUUCUACUAUAGAAAAAACGAAAAACUACCUAUGAAACCUAGUUAGAAGGCGGAUUUAGCAGUAAAAAGGAAUCAGCAUGUCCUUUUUAACCCGGCACUGGGGUGUGU